GCGUUGUCCGGAAUUAUUGGGCGUAAAGAGCUUGUAGGCGGUUUGUCGCGUCUGCUGUGAAAUUUCGGGGCUCAACCCCGAACUUGCAGUGGGUACGGGCAGACUAGAGUGUGGUAGGGGAGACUGGAAUUCCUGGUGUAGCGGUGAAAUGCGCAGAUAUCAGGAGGAACACCGAUGGCGAAGGCAGGUCUCUGGGCCACUACUGACGCUGAGAAGCGAAAGCAUG
rnacentral:rRNA from 1 species